UAACUGACAGAGCCACCCAAGUGCCCCUUCCAGAAUGUUUUGAAACGGAUUCGAUUUAUGGCAAAGGGAAGCAACUGUGCUGAAAUUCAGUUAUAAAAAAUAUUUUGAAAACUUUGCGGUCUAGUAAAAUACAUUCUUCUUAAUUAGCCCACUGAAUACCAUGAUCUGGUGACAGAUCUGAUAACUGCUGUGAUUUUGAUGUAGUGAUGAGCGUAUCAUAUUUUGAUAUGUUAAAUAUGAUGUAAAAAUACCUGUGGUUUUUAUUGGCAGCCAAGUGCAAUAUAUACUGUUAAUAUGAACGUGGCUGUUUGCUUACAUUUCGAGUGGAAAGAAUCCUAAUUUCAAGGGACAGAUAAAAAAAAAAUAAAGAUACCAUUUUUCCUUUUCAAGUUCCGGGACACUGCUCCCCUACCCCUUUCCAUAUUCGUCCCCAGACUUGAAGGAUUUCAAAGAAGGACUUGAAGAAUCUUUUCUUUAGAGAACAUCCCCCGCCCACCAUCAUAACAUGAGGUCAGGAAAUUAAAUGUUCUCCUUAAAUAUUAAAAAUAUAAAAGCCUCAUACAAAUUAACCGGAAAAGCCCAGGAGACAGAUGGGCCAAGAACAUGAUGGAUAUAGAUAAUGAUAAAAACAUGACAAAAAAUUCCACUUGAAAACAAAGUAACAGAAAUUCGGUUUUUUGGCCCAUUAAAUUAGUCAGGCUAAGACAUGCACCCACAUAAACACAAUUCUGCCAAGGAGCACUGAUAAGACUUCUUACUGCUGCUUGAAUUACAACUGGGACUAUUGUUUUGGAAAGCAAAUCUGAAAUUGUUCACAUUUUUGGAAUCAGUCUAUUAAAUAAACUUGAAUUAUUGUCUUUUAAUGGCUAAGCAUUAAGAUUUUUCUCACAUAACUAAGACUACCCAAAUUGUAAAGGACCCACUGGGUCAUAUAUCCCACGAGCUUCCUUCAUCAUUGACAAACCAAAUAUAUUCCAGUCUCAAAAUCAUAAACGUAAUAAAACCCACUGCAUCCCCUUGCGUGUUCCUGAACCGCCUGGGAUCUUACUGCGUGUCCUUUGAAUCGGAGAGUGUGUAUUGGGUGUGAUGGCUGAUUUUAUGUGUCACCUUGACUGGGCGAAGGGGUGCCCAGAUAGCAGGUGAGACAUUAUUUCUGGGUGCGUCCGUGCGGGUGUCUCUGGGAGAGAUUAGCAUUAGAAUUAGUGACCAGUAGACUGAGUCAAGGAGAGUGACUUCACCAAUGCAGGUGGGCAUCAUCUGACACACCGAGGGCCUGAAUGGAACAAAAAGGCAGAGGAAGGGUGAAUUCGCUUCCUCUGCUGGAGCUGAGACGUCCGUGUUUUCUGGCCCUUCGACUUGGGGGCCCGUGGUCCUCAGGCUUCCAGACAGAGGGGGAUUUGCACCAUCAACCCCCUGAGACUCAGGCCUUUGGUCUCAGGUCAAAUUAUACUACGGGCCUUCCUGGUUCUACAGCCUGCAGACAGCAGAUUGUGGGACUUCCUGGCCUCCAAAACCACAUGAGACACUUCCUGUAAUAAAGCUAUGUAUAUGUAAUAAAUAUUAUUAUAUAAAUCAA